rnacentral:rRNA from 1 species
UCUGUUUGAUCCUGGCUCAGGAUGAACGCUGGCGGUAUGCUUAACACAUGCAAGUCGAACGAGAGUUUUUAACUCUAGUGGCGAACGGGUGAGUAAUACGUGAGAAUCUGCCCUUAGGAGAAGAAUAACUGCUGGAAACGGCUGCUAAUACUUCAUAAACCGAGAGGUAAAAAAGUCUAGGCUGCCUAAGGAUGAGCUCGCGCCUGAUUAGCUUGUUGGUAAGGUAAAGGCUUACCAAGGCCACGAUCAGUAGCUGGUUUGAGAGAACGAUCAGCCACACUGGGACUGAGACACGGCCCAGACUCCUCCGGGAGGCAGCAGUGAGGAAUUUUCCGCAAUGGGCGAAAGCCUGACGGAGCAAUACCGCGUGAGGGAUGAAGGAUUUUGGUCUGUAAACCUCUUUUCUCAAGAAAGAAGUUCUGACGGUACUUGAGGAAUAAGCAUCGGCUAACUCCGUGCCAGCAGCCGCGGUAAUACGGGGGAUGCAAGCGUUAUCCGGAAUCAUUGGGCGUAAAGCGCCUGUAGGUUGUUUAAUAAGUCCGUUGUUAAAGACUAGGGCUUAACCCUAGGAAAGCGAUGGAAACUGAUAGACUUGAGUAUGGCAGGGGUAGAGGGAAUUUCUAGUGUAGCGGUGAAAUGCGUAGAUAUUAGAAAGAACACCGGUGGCGAAAGCGCUCUACUGGACCAUUACUGACACUGAGAGGCGAAAGCUAGGGGAGCGAAAGGGAUUAGAUACCCCUGUAGUCCUAGCCGUAAACGAUGGAUACUAGAUGUUGUGCAAUUUGGACAGUAUCGUAGCUAACGCGUUAAGUAUCCCGCCUGGGGAGUACGCUCGCAAGGGUGAAACUCAAAGGAAUUGACGGGGGCCCGCACAAGCGGUGGAGCAUGU